rnacentral:tRNA from 1 species
GGCUCAGACUUAGUUGGACUGCAACUCCAAUUUUGGGUUUUCCCCUGGGCUU